UGGGUUAGGAUGAAGCAGAAUAUAUAAUCCAACACUUGAUCUGAUAUAAUAACGAGUGAUGGCAGACAAUUUUCUAUGCUUCUGAAUCUAC